GGUUAUGAUACAAUAUAAAGAGACAUAUUUACGACGUACAAUUUGAAAAUGUUUCUUUUCGAGGAAUUUGGCGGUUUGUGUUCGUGUCAUAUUCGACAUAUUUCGGCUUGUCUCCGAGCAUAUCCCUUCCCCAAUUUGUAAUAUUAUAGCGAUCGAGGCGCAGGCUGUCAUUUUGUGGUUGAAAAUUGUGACAUCUCGACGAUUCGAUCAGGUUUUAAAGAUUGUCUUUUCUGUAAAUUGAGUGAUGGAAUAAGGCGGGAAAAAAGGAUUUCAAUAUGGCUGCCGCAAUGAAUAUUUGACAUAAUCAGUCUAAUGGUGAUUCCUCAUAAUGGAAUGAAAAUAUUUGUAACCGCGUGCAAUGCGGUUGAUAGAGUCAGUGUUUGCUUCGUAAUAGUAUUUUAUGUAUUUUUUAGAACAUAGCUGUUGUAAUGUAAUUAUAAUAAUCACUCGUGAAAUUAGAGUCAGUGUUUGUUCGCCGAUUAUAAUUUAAAUGGUCUCGACAAUAUUUUUUUAUUUUUUUUUUUUUAAUUUAAAUAUUUAUUUUGUAUAUAUAUUAAAGUUAAUGUUUCAAAAGGAUAAAGCAAUCAUCCAUCACGCGAAGAGUAUUUUCUUAUUUGAUGAUGACUUUGAUGAGUUUACAUGGAUCAAUAUCGACGACAAUAUCAUCACAUCUAAUGGUGAGUCGCAUGCAUUUUGAUUCCUCCGGUUACUCAAUUAUAUCGUAGAAUGAAAGGUUCAAAUCGAUACGAGUGACUGGUUGUAUACAUAGAAUUUUGCACGAGCACAGUGACCAUGGGUAUUUAUCAUACUCAUGAAUAGUAACAUUUUUUUUGUAUGAUUUAUUUUUUAGUUCAGGCUAGGUCUUCUUGUACAUCGCGCUUUUAAAUAUUAGUAAUUUUCAAAAUUAAUUAUGUAAAG